GGUAGGGCUGCUCAGCAGGUUACUGUGAUAUAGUAAUGGUAAAGUUAAACUUUCGUCGGU
rnacentral:tRNA from 1 species